GAGAGAGUAGUUAAAUAUAGUAAUAUAAGUUUGUGGUACUUAAGUUAAUGGUUAGAGUCCAUUUUUUUUCC
rnacentral:tRNA from 1 species